rnacentral:rRNA from 1 species
AGUCGAACGAAGCUUUCUUUCACCGAAUGCUUGCAUUCACCGAAAGAAGCUUAGUGGCGAACGGGUGAGUAACACGUAGGCAACCUGCCCAAAAGAGGGGGAUAACACUUGGAAACAGGUGCUAAUACCGCAUAACCAUGAACACCGCAUGAUGUUCAUGUAAAAGACGGCUUUUGCUGUCACUUUUGGAUGGGCCUGCGGCGUAUUAACUUGUUGGUGGGGUAACGGCCUACCAAGGUGAUGAUACGUAGCCGAACUGAGAGGUUGAUCGGCCACAUUGGGACUGAGACACGGCCCAAA